GACGAACGCUGGCGGCGUGCUUAACACAUGCAAGUCGAACGGAAAGGCCCUGCUUUUGUGGGGUGCUCGAGUGGCGAACGGGUGAGUAACACGUGAGUAACCUGCCCUUGACUUUGGGAUAACUUCAGGAAACUGGGGCUAAUACCGGAUAGGAGCUCCUGCUGCAUGGUGGGGGUUGGAAAGUUUCGGCGGUUGGGGAUGGACUCGCGGCUUAUCAGCUUGUUGGAGGGGUAGUGGCUUACCAAGGCUUUGACGGGUAGCCGGCCUGCGAGGGUGACCGGCCACGUUGGGCUUGAGCUACGGCCCAGCCUCCUACGGGAGGCAGCGGUGGGGAAUAUUGCACAAUGGGCUGAAGCCUGAUGCAGCCCCGCCGCGUGCGGGAUGACGUCCUUCGGGUUGUAUACCGCUUUCGCCUGUGACGAAGCGUGAGUGACGGUAAUGGGUAAAGAAGCACCGGCUAACUACGUG
rnacentral:rRNA from 1 species